GACGAACGCUGGCGGCGUGCUUAACACAUGCAAGUCGAACGGAAAGGCCCUGCUUUUGUGGGGUGCUCGAGUGGCGAACGGGUGAGUAACACGUGAGUAACCUGCCCUUGACUUUGGGAUAACUUCAGGAAACUGGGGCUAAUACCGGAUAGGAGCUCCUGCUGCAUGGUGGGGGUUGGAAAGUUUCGGCGGUUGGGGAUGGACUCGCGGCUUAUCAGCUUGUUGGUGGGGUAGUGGCUUACCAAGGCUUUGACGGGUAGCCGGCCUGAGAGGGUGACCGGCCACAUUGGGACUGAGAUACGGCCCAGACUCCUACGGGAGGCAGCAGUGGGGAAUAUUGCACAAUGGGCGGAAGCCUGAUGCAGCAACGCCGCGUGCGGGAUGACGGCCUUCGGGUUGUAAACCGCUUUCGCCUGUGACGAAGCGUGAGUGACGGUAAUGGGUAAAGAAGCACCGGCUAACUACGUGCCAGCAGCCGCGGUGAUACGUAGGGUGCGAGCGUUGUCCGGAUUUAUUGGGCGCAGAGGGCUCGUAGGUGGUUGAUCGCGUCGGAAGUGUAAUCUUGGGGCUUAACCCUGAGCGUGCUUUCGAUACGGGUUGACUUGAGGAAGGUAGGGGAGAAUGGAAUUCCUGGUGGAGCGGUGGAAUGCGCAGAUAUCAGGAGGAACACCAGUGGCGAAGGCGGUUCUCUGGGCCUUUCCUGACGCUGAGGAGCGAAAGCGUGGGGAGCGAACAGGCUUAGAUACCCUGGUAGUCCACGCUGUAAACGGUGGGUACUAGGUGUGGGGUCCAUUCCACGGGUUCCGUGCCGUAGCUAACGCUUUAAGUACCCCGCCUGGGGAGUACGGCCGCAAGGCUAAAACUCAAAGGAAUUGACGGGGCCCCGCACAAGCGGCGGAGCAUGCGGAUUAAUUCGAUGCAACGCGUAGAACCUUACCUGGGUUUGACAUGGAUCGGGAGUGCUCAGAGAUGGGUGUGCCUCUUUUGGGGUCGGUUCACAGGUGGUGCAUGGCUGUCGUCAGCUCGUGUCGUGAGAUGUUGGGUUAAGUCCCGCAACGAGCGCAACCCUUGUUCACUGUUGCCAGCACGUUAUGGUGGGGACUCAGUGGAGACCGCCGGGGUCAACUCGGAGGAAGGUGGGGAUGACGUCAAGUCAUCAUGCCCCUUAUGUCCAGGGCUUCACGCAUGCUACAAUGGCUGGUACAGAGAGUGGCGAGCCUGUGAGGGUGAGCGAAUCUCGGAAAGCCGGUCUCAGUUCGGAUUGGGGUCUGCAACUCGACCUCAUGAAGUCGGAGUCGCUAGUAAUCGCAGAUCAGCAACGCUGCGGUGAAUACGUUCCCGGGGCU
rnacentral:rRNA from 1 species